rnacentral:misc_RNA from 1 species
GAUGAAGAACGUAGCGAAAUGCGAUAAGUAAUGUGAAUUGCAGAAUUCAGUGAAUCAUCGAAUCUUUGAACGCACAUUGCGCCCCUUGGUAUUCCGAGGGGCAUGCCUGCUCGAGCGUCAUUAUAACCCCUCAAGCUCAGCUUGGUGUUGGGGCCUGCUGCACUGGCAGCCCUUAAAAUCAGUGGCGGCGCCAUCUGGCUCUAAGCGUAGUAAUUCUUCUCGCUAUGGAGUCCUGGUGGAUGCUUGCCAUCAACCCCCAAUUUUUACAGGUUGACCUCGGAUCAGGUAGGGAUACCCGCUGAACUUAAGCAUAUCAAUAAGCGGAGGA